GCCGGGGUUUCUUUACCAGAUACUGUCAUUAUCAUCUCUGGCGAAAGAGCUUUACGACCCUAAGGCCUUCGUCACUCACGCGGCAUGGCUAGACCAGGCUUGCGCCCAUUGUCUAAGAUUCCCC
rnacentral:rRNA from 1 species